UUUCCGUAGGUGAACCUGCGGAAGGAUCAUUAUUGAAACUUGAAUCGUAGCAUUGAGAACUGUUGCUGACCUGUUAAAGGGUAUGUGCACGUUCGACGUGUUGCGUUCUAUUCAUCCACCUGUGCACCUUUGUAGACUUGAUUAACUUUCACUUUCGAGCGGUUAGAAGGGCUGCUUUCGAGCUCCCUUUGUCUAUCAAGUCUAUGUCUAUAUAAUCUCUUGUAUGUCUAGAAUGUCUUGUUUAUGGGACGCAAGUCCUUUAAAUCUUAUACAACUUUCAACAACGGAUCUCUUGGCUCUC
rnacentral:misc_RNA from 1 species